AUGACGUUCUCCUUUCUAUUUUUCGAGAAAAGCUUUUUGGUGCAUAUAUGUGGAACACCAGUGCAUUAUGCGACACUAUUCAGGUGUAUAUUUUGCGAGGCUGGUGCCGCUGACAGCAUUUCUGUCAAAUGGCUAAACUUCACAUACUGUCUCGCUUCAAUAUUGAAAUAACAAUAUGCCCUAUCAAAAUAUUAAUGAAAAAGUAUUUUUAUGGAUAUCAGUCCUCGUAAAAUAUACGUUCUAACAUUGAUAAAAAGUUAUGACACAACUCAUUAUUUACCCGUUCAUUACAUGCACCAACCACCCCAAAUUAGCACUACACUAGAUAGAUUGCAGUGCACUGCAUUGCAACACAGGGGCACUGGGGUUUGCCAUCCCCAGUAGGAAAUCGGACGCUUGUCUGGUUGACUUGCUUGCCUUUCCUCUCCUUGCUUUUUCUAUCUCUUUGAACAAACUGCACUACCUUGUCGAAGAGGAAGCGUUAUCCUCUUUCAGAGUUAAAUAAUUUGUCGAGCAAUAAUUUUACAGUUCCAGCAACUACAGCAUAAACUGGAAAACGAAACCGAAUCUGAUUUGUUCUCCGUGCUCACAGAGCGCGUCACCAGGGGGCACCGUGCGCUGCGCCUCCGGUCUCGAAGGAUCUAACAAGCGGUUGAUGCAGCUGCGAAUCUGUAGUCAGUCGGUUUUUAUCGUUUUAUGUUGUGCAGAUUGUUAGUUCACCGUAAAUAUGUCUUGAUUUGUACUCAAGAGUGGAGCAAGGCCCCAAGGAACAGAGAUUGACGCAACGGGAGCGAAGAACAGAAGCGAUGGAUGGUUACGCUGGUUGACUCUCGGCAUGUUCAAAAUGGCGAAGUUCCGAAUUUGUCGCUGUGUGACGUGCGCGUGUGUGCUCGUGAUGUGCCGUCAUAGCGCGGGGAUAUUUGUGCUGAAUGUGUUUCACUUCGUCUACAAAACUCUGCACGCAAUGGCAUCGAAGAAGUCGUGUGUUCAGGUGCACGUAUGUGCAUGCUUGGAUACGGAAAGCCUGCCCUCAACGGUAGCGCUGAGCUCAGUCGUGUUGGCUCAGCGCUACCCCCUCAACGGAUGUUCAACAGUCUACGUGCUCGUAACUUGCUGACGAGACCUCCUUGCUGUUGCAACUCUGAGGACAAUUGCUUCAAAUGGGAAGGAACAACCAGCAGUGCCAGCGCUAUUUGUACAUGAGGACGACGAGAGGGUUCCACUCACCCCCUGUGUGGUGUAUUCUGGCCACAACCUGGAUCAGGCAGAGUUUCUCCACCUCUGUGUCGACAAGGAGCGGCUGUUCAUGGUCAAAAAUGCGGAGGAAGGGGUCAUCGCAAUCAUGAGUGCAUUUUUUUUAUUGAACAUAGUAUAUGGGCCUAAAUACUUCAACACCAGUGCAGUACUGGAACGAUUGUUUUUUCGUUUGAAUGUAAUAAUGCCAAGUGGUUGUUACAAAGUUUGUGAACAGAGUUGUGCAGGCAAUGCGACACCGAGGUUCAUGUACGUUACCAUACGAAUGCUAGCCUGACAAUUUUGUGCAAUAGCUUGAGCAAUAGUUUUGUGCAAUUUUUAAUGUAUCAUUUUCUUUCUUUUUGAUCACGAUAAUAGCAUGAUCCAGUAACUUCUUCCGCUGCUUGUGCCAACCACCUAUAAACUGCACCUUUUUUUGUUCUGAUGACUUGACAGACAAUGUAAUAGUGCCCAAGUGUAGGUCAGCAAAAAACAAACGGGGUGUACUGUAGUCUGCAAGUACUUAUC